GGGCAGACUAGGCCGGUGGGGCAGCCCUCCAUUGUCACCGCAAACGGGCUUCAUGGCGGGGCCGAAGCUGUUGGGGCGGUGCCGUGUGUUCGGCGCCAGCCUUGCCCGGACGUUGACGCUCUGUCCCCUGGGAUUGAUUGCCCCAGGAAUCUGGUCAGGCCAGGAAUGGAGCAGCCAUAACUGAGACAGUCGGUGUCCAGGGGGAUGCGGAGCCGAGAAACGGCGAGGAUCCACUGUUGCCGGAGCAUUGCAUCCACCUUUGGCACGUCUGCCU
rnacentral:SRP_RNA from 1 species